CAUGAACCGCAAAAACCACCUGAUCCCUUCCCGAACUCAGAAGUGAAACGACGCAUCGCCGAUGGUAGUGUGGGGUCUCCCCAUGUGAGAGUAGGU
rnacentral:rRNA from 1 species